UGAAUCGCAAAUCGAUGGAGAAAACGAUUUGAACAGAUGCUAAAACUGGAAGUUUGAAAACCGGUAUUAGACCGUCAAAUCGGCCGGGAAUCGGUCCGUCGAACCAAACCGGGACCCGGCCGUUUUCUGAAUUUUUCCAAAAACCGCGCUGCUUGGAUUGAGGAACCUAACCAUUCCCCAACCCUCACUCCAAAACGGCGAAACGCGCAGCACUCCUCCCAUCACCCUCGACCUUGAGCUGCUCCUUCUUCUCAUCGUCACCGAGCUCCUCCCUCACUCCCUGACUUCUGUCCAGCCACCGGCCUGCUACCGCCGCUGUCGCAACAUCGAGCUUCGGAGUCACUGUCGCAACAUCAAGCUUCGGAGUCACUGUCGCAACUUCCUUUCCCUCGAUCGUGCAGCCACCGUUUGUGCUUCGAAACCACCGUCACCGGUCUCGCCUCCUGCCUCCGUCCCGCAGCUACUGCCCCGCCGGCGCCAACUCUGUUCCACCGGUCAGCCCUUCGGAUUAUAUAUGUAGUUUCCCUAUUUUGAUUUUAACGUGGUGCUCAUUUGAAGGGCAAUAUUAUUUAAAAUACUCUACUUUUGUCUUACUUCAUCUAUACAGAAACCUAAAAGUGUACUACAUUUUGUUUGUUUAAAAAAAACCUUCAUAUAUGCAUUUUUAAAAUUUCUGUCAGUGCAGGUGAACUUCUUAGCCAAACUGGUGGCUUUGAAACCCGGAGAUACUGUGCUUGGCAUGAUAAGAAAUGUAAUGCAAGGAAAAGAUGAAGGUGAUGACAAUGCUGGUAAUGUUGAUGAAGGAAAUGCUGAAAGGGUGAGUGUGACAGGAAGGAAGUCGCAUCCAGUACGUCCUGGCAUGUUUCUUUAGACCGUCUCCAGGUUAAUGUCAAAGUCAUGCUUGUUACAUUUUAUUCUUUGGUCACCAUCGAAGAGCUCCAGUUGAAACCAAGCCCCUGUCGUCACCGCCAGUACCAC